GACGAACGCUGGCGGCGUGCCUAAUACAUGCAAGUCGAGCGAAGUUUUUCUGGUGCUUGCACCGGAAAAACUUAGCGGCGAACGGGUGAAUAACACGUAAAGAACCUGCCUCAUAGACUGGGACAACUAUUGGAAACGAUAGCUAAUACCGGAUAAUAGCAUUAACUGCAUGGUUGAUGUUUAAAAGUUGGUUUUGCUAACACUAUGAGAUGGCUUUGCGGUGCAUUAGCUAGUUGGUGGGGUAAAGGCCUACCAAGGCGACGAUGCAUAGCCGACCUGAGAGGGUGAUCGGCCACACUGGGACUGAGACACGGCCCAGACUCCUACGGGAGGCAGCAGUAGGGAAUCUUCCGCAAUGGGCGAAAGCCUGACGGAGCAACGCCGCGUGAGUGAAGAAGGAUUUCGGUUCGUAAAGCUCAGUUGUUAGGGAAGAAUGAUUGUGUAGUAACUAUACACAGUAGAGACGGUACCUAACCAGAAAGCCACGGCUAACUACGUG
rnacentral:rRNA from 1 species